GAAAGAAAAAAGAUAGAUAGAUUAGUUAGAAAGAAAGAAAGAUAGAUUAGUUAGAAAGAAAGAUGGAUAGAUUAGUUAGAAAGAAAGAUAGAUAGAUUAGUUAGUUAGAAAGAAAGAUAGAUUAAUUAGUUAGAAAGAAAGAAAGAUAGAUUAGUUAGAAAGAAAGAUGGAUAGAUUAGUUAGAAAGAAAGAUAGUUAGAUUAGUUAGAAAGAAAGAAAGAUAGA